UGGCUCAGAGGUUAAAGUGUCUGCCUCCAAUGCAGGAGACCCGGGUUCGAUCCCUGG
rnacentral:tRNA from 1 species